UGUGCUACUUAGCUAGAUAAUGUUUCUGCCGGGAGAACUGAAUGGAGGGGUCUUCUAAAAGAUUACUGGUCACGAUUUAGCAAGCAUUGUGAUCUUGCAAGUAAUACUGAUAUUCGUAAGGUAGAGAAAAUGUUGGAGAAAACAUUCAGUCACUUCUUGUUCCCUUCGGCAGACAGUGAAAGCCGGGUAUGCCCAAGUUGUUCGAUUGGCACUUUGAAAUUUAAAGUCAUAGGAUCUGACUAUUUUAUUGGAUGCGAUCGAAAUCCUAAAUGCAAAAUGGAGUAAUAUACCCCUGUCUAUCUGAAAGGCUGAGGACCAAGCAUAUAUGUGUAGCUUACGCUUAUAAUCAGGUUGCUUUGGCAGAUCUGAAUCAAUUUAUCUAGGUCAUUUCUGUAUAGAUAUCAUUGUACUUCUGAGUUAAAUCUUUUUUAUGGUGAGCACCUCCCAUGUGGUAACACACACACACACACACACACAUAUAUAUAUAUA